CGCCAAAGUCUGUUUCUUCCGUUCGCCUGGAGCUAAAUACAGCUGAGCAGCCCCACGUCUCGUCCAUAAAAAAAGGAAGCCACAGCUCUGCAUGGUAGAAGCCACGUACCGCAAAACCCAGCCCAGAAACAACCACGUGAGCGAGAGAGAAACCACAGGUGGAGGCUUCCAUCCUCACCCAUGGGCCAUGCUGCCGCUCGGUGUCAAACGGGGCUGGGUGAUUCGCCGGAGGCCACUGAAGCUGUUCUUGGCAGAGGAUGGCGGCCGGGAACGCUCCUAUGCGAUAGCAACCGUGCCCCGCGACAACUGCAUGCGCGCGGCCGCACCAGCACAAUGGAUGUCACAAAGGACCAGUCGGAUGCGGGACCUCUCCGCGGCCGGGACUCUCGUGAUUGCGCGGGCUCUGAAACUGGUAAGAACUCUUGAUUGCUUACCUGUUUCCUUCACGUAGAUUAGUUGUAUUCGGUUAGGCUUUGGGAGCACCUGAAGCGCCGUGGUAAUGGCGGCUACUUGAGCGGUCUCCCUCGCCAGCGUAUUCGACGGACAGGGGUUAAAGAUGAACCGAUGGCCAUUGAUUGGUAUUCAAUGGUCGUGAUCACGUCGCGCGUAACCCUUCGAGCGGGGAAAUCUGAACCGUGGAUCUGGCAAGUUGCGACUCAGAUUAAAACCUGGCAUACCGGUUUGGAUGUGGUUCGAUCUAAUCUGGUCCCUUGAAAACAGAUCAAGCGGCUCAGGUCGCGCAAUACCCCUUCGGCCUCGACAAUUAUAUUAAAGAACCCAUCUGUUAUUUUAGAUUCAACUCGCAAUCCAUAGGACUGUUCACUGAGUCUUAAGAAAUUUACGUGUUAGCCUCUGUUAUUCUCUGAAUUCAUGCGCACAGUCCAGACAGCGAAUAAAAUCAGAGAAAUUCAUUUUAAAUUCAUUUUUAAUACAAAAAUAAUGGUAGAAACUUGUAUAAAUCAUAGAAAAUUCAUAUUAAAUCCUUUUUAGUCCAUUCCACUUCCUAUAAUUUUAUAUUAAUAUUGUCUAUUACUUGGUAGCACUGUUUUAGCAUGAAACCCAUACCAGACAUGAUUACUCAAAUAAUUUUGUAGCAAGCACAUACGAACUUUGGGAAUUCAUAACUUAAAAUCUAUGAUUCCGAUUUGAUCCGUUCAAGUUGCGUUAGUCUCGUAUAAAUGUUUUCUAUACAAUAAAAACAUUUCUUAUACCAUGUCUCAUUAUUUUAUCACUAGAUCUUUAUUUAACUUAUGUUGGUUAGUCUUGUUAAUCUCUUUAUCAUUAUAACCUACUAGAAUAAGAUCUAUGGUCAAUUUAUAACUUAGAUUAAAGUUGAGAUAAUUAUUUAUAGAAUAACCUCUCAUAUGAUUUAUAUUAACCAAAUUAUAAUAUAGUUUAAUAUUUUAAUCACAUAAAUUCUCUAUAAAAUCAUAACUCCUUAAUCGUAACUCCAAUUUUAGUGGUUCUCGUUCCCACGAUCUUGUAGCGACGUGUAGAUUAUUAUUAUUCAGUUUGUACUUAUGUUUGGUGUGAUGUUAAUUUUGUCUAUAUCAUGUUUGUUUGUAUUGCUACGACUAGCGUGUGGUCACGAGGAUCUGAAGAAUCACCCUGGUAACUGGAAUCUCAAGUGCCAGGCAAGUUGUGCCCUUGAUUCACUUUUGUUACCCAAUAAUGUUCUUUGUAAUCAUUUACCAUGCAUAGGUCUAAUUUUGAUGGGACCCAAUAGGUCACCCUAGAUUGUUUAUCUCAUUACCUUGUUUACCCCUGAAUCACAUGGGUAGUUUUUGCUAUUGCUUUACAUGAUUUUGGGAUAAUUAUUUAUUAUAUCCAUGUUCCAGUUAUUAUGUUAUUUUAUUUAUGUUCAUGUCAAGAUCAUUAUAUUAUUGUUAAUUGGAACAUGGAGCUUAACUUGAGAAACACGUGCCGCCACAAGGGUUUAAUGGGACGCCCUUGGCUGACUAAUUAGGAAAGCUAGUGGAAGACUACCUUACCCGAAAGGGGCAAGGGCAGUAGGGAAGUUGCAUGCAAGGAGGUUCUCGGGUUGAUUUGCUGCGAUGGCGGUCGGACGGGAGAUUCUUGCAAGUGCUCUUCCCAUAAACUGUAGCGGGUUUUCGGAAGCUAGUGGAACUUUGCAAAGGCCUCGUAGUGGAUCCCUAGCCAUUCACCUUGGUAGUGUCUAAGGGCCUAGCUAACCCUGGCGACAUGGGAAACAUGACUUGUGGGUAAAGGGUACAACCUCUGCAGAGUGAAAAACUGGUAUACUAGCCGAGCUCACGGUCAUGAGCGGCUCAGGACUCUCCGAUGAUUAAAUUAUGGAAUCUAAACUCAAUUUGUCAUUUGCAUAUGCAUGGGAUUAUUUAUUAAUUUUGUUCUAUUACUUUAUUUAAGGUUUGGUAUUUACUUACACUUAGUAACUGCUAAUAAAAUUUUGACCAACUUAUAAAAGCAAUGCUCAGCUUUAACCUCUAUUGUUGAUCAGCCUUACACUUCAUAAACUCCCACCUUUUGUGAGUUCAUGUCACAUUAUUCCCCACAACUUGUUGAGCGAUGAACAUGUGUGAGCUCACCCUUGCUGUCUCACACCCCCCACAGGAGAAGAACAGGUGAUUCAGGAGGAGCCACGUAUCGAGGAGUAUGAUCUGAUCUAGGUGGCGUUUCUCAGUUGACAUUGGCGCCGACGAUCCUUAGUUCAUUUUAUAUUUAUUCUUUUAUUUUGUAAUAAGUCUUCCGCUAUGUAUUAAAUACUCUGAUUAUUGUGACAUUUAUCUCUAUGCACUCUGUUAUUGCAUAUGUUGUCUUCUUGGCGCAUGUAUGAGAUGCACCUGGCUUUGUCCCUUAAAGCCGGGUGUGACAGCCGAGCUCGGCUUGACUCGCUCAUCUGGCGAGCUCGAAAAAGCGGCUCGA
rnacentral:lncRNA from 1 species